UGUUUACAUGGUAGGGCCUGGUCACCACAAAAUAUAUGAUAUCUGCAAUAUCUUCGGGCCUCAAGGGUUCAAAUCCUUUGUAUACAC
rnacentral:tRNA from 1 species